GGGGCUGUAGCUCAGUGAUAGAGUGCUUGCCUAGCAUGUAUGAGGCACUGGGUUCGAUCCUCAGCACCACA
rnacentral:tRNA from 1 species